rnacentral:pre_miRNA from 1 species
UUUGUACUCCCUCCGUCCGAAAAUACUUGUCAUCAAAAUGGAUAAAAAGAGAUGUAUCUAGAACUAAAAUACGUCUAGAUACAUCCCCUUUUAUCCAUUUUGAUGACAAGUAUUUCCGGACGGAGGGAGUAGUUU